UAUUGGAAAUCAUGCCCUCACUCAGCUCCUGGGCCUGGUUGGCAAGAAAACCCCAGUAGAUGCUGAGACAGGGCCAAAAGCCCAGUGAAGACACACACGACAGGCACCUGAUUAUGCUUGAGUAAUGUGACUGGCUUCUGAGAGAGGUGGCUUUGCAAAUGAGUCUUGGAGGAUAAGGACAGGUGAGGCGGUCCCUGGGUGACCAUUUCUACCCUUACACCUUCUGAUGAACACCAAUAAAAGCCUGGAGAAAAGGCAUCACUCAUUCAGUCUCAUGGGUUCUGCCCGAGAACAGCAACGUGCAAGCACGACUUCUCUAUGAUCCUUGAAAUCCUCUAUGGUACCACAGAUCGCCGACUUUGAGAUUUUAAAUCUGUGGUCUUCAAAUCUGAGUACCAACCCAUGAGUGGACAGAGUGCACCCUCACCUCUGCCCACUCUUGGCCUCCAGAGUUGCUUCACGCUCGCCUCCCAAACAGAGGAAGCUUCCAUCAAAACAAUUAGGAGACCCCAGGCAGCUGUCUUCUGGAAACCUCCGUCCAACAGCAGCAGUUCUCCACCCACCAGGCCACUCCCAGCAUCCAAAUGGUUUCCAAAGGUGCAGUCAGGUUAGUACACCUUGACUCUGCUCUUGGGUAAGGCUAGGUCCUGGCAUGACAGUGUGACCCAAGCUGAGCCCAUCAGAG
rnacentral:lncRNA from 1 species